CCAUACCAUUACUAAAGUUAUAUUUAGAAUUAUGCUUCACAAACUCUUGUCUCACUCAUUCCACACCUACUGCUGUGCGAGCACGGUUUCUCCCUCUCUGAAUGUCAUUUCACCGAUCCGACCGUUGAAAACAUGGAUCUGAAUGUUGCGAACUUGCUGUCCAAAAAUCAGCCCGAUCUAACGGUUAAUGAAUGCGCAGUCGAUGUUUUUCUGAUACUGAUUUAACAAAUUCGGGAAUGGAGUUACUCCUCUUUUUUCUCUUUUGGUGGUUGCCUUUUCUAUCAAAAUUGUCUCUCUCUUUUUCUCUCCUAAAUCCUUUUUAUAUCGCAGAGUGUUUUUUUUGAAUGGAAGACGUCCGUUUUGUUUUUGUUUCCUUUUUAUCAAAAAGGAUGAACUAAGCCACAAGUGGGAAACGUUAAACCAGCAGCCGAGAACGUUAAGCCAUGAGUGGGGAACCUUAAACCAGAAGUGGUGAACGUUGACAGAAGUGGAGAAAGUUAAACUAGGAGUGGGGAACCUUAAGCCAGACGUGGGUAAAGUUAAAUUGGGUAACGUGGUAUUAAAUGGAGAAAGUGAUAUUUCAACCUAAGACAUGUGUUUUUAACGGUUCCGGUAAAAUAUUAAAAUAAAAUAAAAUGUCUGAGUGUUACAUUCUACCUGCCUUAAAUAGUUUCGUCCUCGAAACUUGACUCUAAUGAAGAAAAAUGCGAGUCUUAC
rnacentral:lncRNA from 1 species